UCCAUCAACAACAACAUGAUGUUUCUUCCUUUUACAGUAUACGUAUCUAUACUUCGUAUGGUAACAUGACAUCAACCAGACUAGACUAAACUUCUGGAGGGCAUGUUUACUCGGUGUGAAAACUUGUACGUGCGAAUUCUAAAGGUAGCCACCACAAGGAUAAACUACAGAAGUAGAGAAAGCAAGGAGCUAUUAUUCCACUAUCAGCAUGUACAAACUAGAAAUCAUAUACUCCCUCUGUUCCUAAAUAUAAGUCUUUUUAGAGAUUUCGAUGUGAACUAUACACGGAGCAAAAUCAGUGAAUCUAUGCUCUAAAGUACAUCUAUAUACAUUAGUAUGUAGUCUCAAUUAAAAUCUGUAAAAAAGACUUAUCUUCAGAAACGGAGGGAGUAGAUAUAUUUCAGCUAGUUUGUGAAAUAUGUAAUUUUUUUAUUGAUGAUGUGUACAAUUGAGUUUGUAAAAUACUACUGCUCUAAUUAAUACAAUGCUAUUAUUUUGCGCGAUA